CAAUAGCGUAUAUUAAAGUUGUUGCGGUUAAAAAGCUCGUAGUUGGAUUUCUGCUGAGAACGACCGGUCCGCCCUUUGGGUGUGUAUCUGGCUCUUUCUUGGCAUCUUCUUGGUGAACGUUGCUGCACUUGACUGUGUGGAGCGCUACCCAGGACUUUUACUUUGAGGAAAUUAGAGUGUUUCAAGCAGGCACACGCCUUGAAUACAUUAGCAUGGAAUAAUAAGAUAGGACCUCGGUUCUAUUUUGUUGGUUUCUAGAGCUGAGGUAAUGAUUAAUAGGGAUAGUUGGGGGCAUUCGUAUUUAACUGUCAGAGGUGAAGUUCUUGGAUUUGUUAAAGACGGACUACUGCGAAAGCAUUUGCCAAGGAUGUUUUCAUUGA
rnacentral:rRNA from 1 species